rnacentral:rRNA from 1 species
GUUAAGGCUGAGGCGUGAUGACGAGGCACCACGGUGCUGAAGUGACAAAUGCCCUGCUUCCAGGAAAAGCCUCUAAGCAUCAGGUAACAUCAAAUCGUACCCCAAACCGACACAGGUGGUCAGGUAGAGAAUACCAAGGCGCUUGAGAGAACUCGGGUGAAGGAACUAGGCAAAAUGGUGCCGUAACUUCGGGAGAAGGCACGCUGACAUGUAGGUGAAGCCCCUGCGGGUGGAGCUGAAGUCAGUCGAAGAUACCAGCUGGCUGCAACUGUUUAUUAAAAACACAGCACUGUGCAAACACGAAAGUGGACGUAUACGGUGUGACGCCUGCCCGGUGCCGGAAGGUUAAUUGAUGGGGUUAUCGCAAGAGAAGCUCCUGAUCGAAGCCCCGGUAAACGGCGGCCGUAACUAUAACGGUCCUAAGGUAGCGAAAUUCCUUGUCGGGUAAGUUCCGACCUGCACGAAUGGCGUAAUGAUGGCCAGGCUGUCUCCACCCGAGACUCAGUGAAAUUGAACUCGCUGUGAAGAUGCAGUGUACCCGCGGCAAGACGGAAAGACCCCGUGAACCUUUACUACAGCUUGACACUGAACAUUGAGCCUUGAUGUGUAGGAUAGGUGGGAGGCUUUGAAGCGUGGACGCCAGUCUGCGUGGAGCCGACCUUGAAAUACCACCCUUUAAUGUUUGAUGUUCUAACCUGGCGCCGUGAUCCGGCGUGGGGACAGUGUCUGGUGGGUAGUUUGACUGGGGCGGUCUCCUCCCAAAGUGUAACGGAGGAGCACGAAGGUCAGCUAAUCCUGGUCGGACAUCAGGAGGUUAGUGCAAUGGCAUAAGCUGGCUUGACUGCGAGAGUGACGGCUCGAGCAGGUGCGAAAGCAGGUCAUAGUGAUCCGGUGGUUCUGUAUGGAAGGGCCAUCGCUCAACGGAUAAAAGGUACUCCGGGGAUAACAGGCUGAUACCGCCCAAGAGUUCAUAUCGACGGCGGUGUUUGGCACCUCGAUGUCGGCUCAUCACAUCCUGGGGCUGAAGUAGGUCCCAAGGGUAUGGCUGUUCGCCAUUUAAAGUGGUACGCGAGCUGGGUUUAGAACGUCGUGAGACAGUUCGGUCCCUAUCUGCCGUGGGCGCUGGAGAAUUGAGGGGGGCUGCUCCCAGUACGAGAGGACCGGAGUGGACGCAUCACUGGUGUUCGGGUUGUCAUGCCAAUGGCACUGCCCGGUAGCUAAAUGCGGAAGAGAUAAGUGCUGAAAGCAUCUAAGCACGAAACUUGCCCCGAGAUGAGUUCUCCCUGAGACUGUAAGUCUCCUGAAGGAACGUUGAAGACGACGACGUUGAUAGGCCGGGUGUGUAAGCGCAGCGAUGCGUUGAGCUAACCGGUACUAAUGAACCGUGAGGCUUAACCUUACAACGCCAAAGAAGU